rnacentral:lncRNA from 1 species
AGUCCCGUAGAUGCAGCUCUAGAAUGAGGGUGCUUUGGGCAUAACAGGCUCAGCCAUCCUUCUGGUGUCUCGCCCUGUCUCCUUUCCCAUCCUUGGGUUCACUUCUCUCCCUUUUUCUCUUCACUUCAAAAGUGGUUAGCUCCAGUUAAAUACCUGGAGUUGGGACAGCAGAAAAGCUGCUAAAUGCAGAUUUGCUUUUUCUCACUAAAGAAAGAGGAACAUUUUAGUCACUAAUUUUCACUUCAUUUAACCUUUCUUUCCACAGAAUGGCCUGACUUUUGCUGGAAGGGGACAAAGCCCUAAGACAUUUAUAUCCAUGAGUAGAACAUUUAUGAUAUCACUUACACAGCUUCCUGGCCUGAGCUUUUCCAGACUUAGCUUAUAUUUUAGUCAAAGUAGAGGGAUGGAUUUAAGGAAUUGUCUAAGAUAAGUGAGAAGAGAGGACAUUUGUCCUACCUAAAGGCAAUGGCAGCUUGUGGGUGUGGCGGGGGGAAUCUAUAAAAAACAUCGAAACAGGCUGGGCAUGGUAGCUCACGCCUGUAAUCUGAGCACUUUGGGAGGCCAAGGUGGGCGGAUCACCUGAGGUCAGGAUUUUAAGACCAGCUUGGCCAACAUGGUGAAACCCCAUCUCUACUAUACAAAAAUUGGCCAGGCAUGGUGGUGGGUGCCUGUAAUCCCAGCUACUCGGGAGGCUGAGACAGGAGAAUGGCGUGAACCCCGGAGGCAGAGGUUGCAGUGAGCUGAGAUCGCUCCACUGCACUCCAGCCUGGGCGACAGAGCGAGACUCUGUCUCAAAAAAAAAAAAAAAGAAACAAACACUUGAGGCUUGACAUUCUGCUCCUUCUCCAUGUGAGGUCUUCACUGAGCAAAAGCAAUGGUUAGCUGUGGCAGCUGUGAAGAAUCAGAGCAUGGCUGUGGGUAUGUUCCACCAGCAUCUCCAAGGCUGUAGCUGGACUUCACAAAGGCUCAGUUUCCAGAUGAGCUGCCUCUGACUGCCCUACUUCCCAGGGGCAUGGGAGGUGAAGGCCAAAUCUCCUCUCCUCUUCUCUCCUACUUUCACCUCAAGCAGUGGGACCACUGGAGCUGUGGAAAUGUCUAGGCCUCCAGUGUUUCUGCCAAUAGGGUCACAAGAGCAAGGAAAAUCUCUUGUCUCUGAAUUCUCCCUUCACUUGUCUUACCUGGGUGAUGAUGGAGGGGCAUGUUGGAAGUCUGUCUGGCUAAUUGUGUAAGAGUGUGUGUGUGUGUGCACGUGCACACACAUACAUGUGAGACACACAUGCUCAGCAACAUCCCAGCUCAGGCCUUCAUAUUCCUCAGUUAGAACUACAGAAUUAAGUGCUUACCUUACCCAUUGAAAGAGAGGCAAUACUGCUCAGUGUCAUGACUUAAAACAAGGGAAAAACCAACCAAAUCCCAAACCAAAC